rnacentral:misc_RNA from 1 species
GCGUCCGCCAUUGACGCCUCAGUCACAGUCUCCAUUAACAAAGUUGGAGGUGGCGUCGGACCUAUAUUUUCCGUACAUCUUUCGUACUUGACUUUAAUUUGGGACAAAAACAACAUCGAAUCGUCCUUCACUGAAUUACCCUUUCAUUCAAAUUUCUUCGAAUCAGCUACUAAAUAAUGUCAUUCCGAGACCGUGAUCGCAAUGACAGACGAGGAGGUGGAGGUGGCAGCGGCGGUGGUAGAGGCGGAAGCGGAAGUCGUUUUGGCAGCAAUCGUGACAGCGGUCCAAACAGAUACGGGGGUGGCAGCGGGGGUGGAAGAGAUAGCGGUGGAUUUGGCAAUUCGUCUUUCAAGAACCGACAGCCAGGAGAACGUUUGCGAAAGCCCAGAUGGGAUAUGGGUACAUUACAACCGUUUAGGAAAGAUUUUUAUGUGCCACAUCCACAAGUCGUGUCACGAGAUCCGCACAAAGUAGAGGCUUAUCGUUCGGACAAAGAGAUCACAGUAAAGGGGAACGCAAUACCCGGACCGGCAAUAUAUUUUGAGGAAGGAGGAUUUCCGGACUAUGUCAUGAGUGAAAUUCGCAGGCAAGGUUUUGAGGCCCCCACCGCGAUACAGGCUCAAGGCUGGCCGAUCGCUUUGUCAGGGCGCGACAUGGUUGGCAUCGCUCAGACGGGUUCGGGCAAAACUUUGGCUUACAUAUUACCUGCGAUUGUGCACAUUAAUAACCAACCGCGUUUGAAUCGAGGGGACGGACCAAUUGCUCUUGUUCUCGCUCCCACGAGAGAAUUGGCCCAACAGAUUCAGCAGGUAGCCGCUGACUUCGGAGUGUCCUCGCAGGUGCGGAACACAUGUAUAUUCGGUGGUGCCCCAAAAGGACCGCAAGCUCGCGAUCUUGAACGAGGCGUUGAAAUCUGCAUUGCCACACCCGGGAGACUGAUAGAUUUUCUCGAACGUGGCACCACGAACCUCCGGCGUUGCACUUAUCUCGUACUCGACGAAGCCGAUCGUAUGCUUGAUAUGGGCUUCGAACCUCAGAUACGUAAGAUAGUCGAACAAAUACGACCUGAUCGACAGACUCUCAUGUGGUCCGCCACUUGGCCCAAAGAAGUCCGGAACUUGGCCGAAGAAUUCCUUACUGAUUACAUACAAAUCAAUGUCGGCUCGCUACAACUCGCGGCCAAUCACAAUAUCCUUCAGAUCGUUGAUGUCUGCGAGGAAUACGAAAAAGAAGGAAAACUCAUGAAAUUGCUCGAAGAAAUCUCGAACGAGCCUGAAAAUAAAACUAUCAUUUUUGUCGAGACCAAGAGAAAGGUCGACGACAUCACAAGAGCCAUUAAUCGAUACGGAUGGCAAGCUAUUGGUAUUCACGGAGAUAAAAGUCAGCAAGAGCGGGAUUACGUUCUCAAUCAAUUUCGAAAUAGCAGAUCGGCGAUUCUCGUGGCAACGGAUGUUGCCGCACGAGGUUUAGAUGUGGAGGACGUGAAAUUUGUGAUUAAUCUGGACUACCCCUCGAACUCGGAGGACUACGUACAUCGUAUCGGACGUACUGGACGCUCGCAACGCACCGGAACGGCCUAUGCUUUCUUCACUCCUGGUAACGCACACAAAGCCAACGAUCUCAUUGAGGUUCUUGACGAGGCUAAACAAGUCGUUAAUCCAAAGUUGUACGAUUUGUCAAGAAAUCCGGGGAAUUUCAAGAGAGGUCGAUAUGGUGGACGUAGCGGCGGCGGAGCGGGUGGUUCCCGAGGUUUUGGCAGUCGAGGUGGUUCACGUGGAGGAUCACGCGGUGGUCGCGAUAUGGGCGAUCGUGGGAGAUCCGAUAGGGGUGGAGAUCGUGGAAACAAAUGGGGUAACAGCAAUAGUGACUGGUCACUGCGAUGGUAAAAGAUCACAAGAAUAAUCGGAAGAUUGGCCGAAUUUUCCUCUGCAAUGGACACUUUACGUUGAAGUUUGCAACGUUGGAGUCCAACGAAAUGAUGUAAAAAAACCUUCGAAUAAUUCCAAUAAUUCACCAAUUGCGUUCGGCAACAGUGCGGCUUUCGCGAAUGACGGAUUUUUCGGAAAAGACUCGAGAGUUAUAAACUUUUGUAACGAAGGUGGGAUGAGUGGUGGAUAUGGCGGUAACAGCAGUAAACCAUUCCAACAGAGCGGCUACGGUGGUGGCUCCGGUAGCGGAGGUGGUUACGGUCAAAAUGGUAAUUCGUACGGAAGCGGUGGAGGUUACGGACAACG